AGGCAGCAGUGGGGAAUAUUGGACAAUGGGGGAAACCCUGAUCCAGCAAUGCCGCGUGUGUGAAGAAGGCCUGCGGGUUGUAAAGCACUUUCGGCGGGAAAGAAAAGUCGCGCGUUAAUACCGUGCGGCCUUGACGUUACCCGCAAAAGAAGCACCGGCUGACUCCGUGCCAGCAGCCGCGGUAAUACGGAGGGUGCAAGCGUUAAUCGGAAUUAUUGGGCGUAAAGCGCACGCAGGCGGUUGGAUAAGUUAGAUGUGAAAGCCUCGGGCUCAACCUGGGAAUUGCAUUUAAAACUGUCCAGCUAGAGUCUUGUAGAGGGGGGUAGAAUUCCCAGGUGUAGCGGUGAAAUGCGUAGAGAUCUGGAGGAAUACCGGUGGCGAAGGCGGCCCCCUGGACAAAGACUGACGCUCAGGUGCGAAAGCGUGGGGAGCAAACAGGAUUAGAUACCCCUGGUAGUCCNCNCCGUAAACGAUGUCGAUUUGGAGGCUGUGUCCUUGAGACGUGGCUUCCGGAGCUAACGCGUUAAAUCCGACCGCCUGGGGAGUACGGCCGCAAGGUUAAAACUCAAAUGAAUUGACGGGGGC
rnacentral:rRNA from 1 species